GGAUCUCCAUUAAUCUUUGCUGUACCACUUAUUUUCCAUUAUCUGGUCAUGUGGUGUCUGUAGAGAAUAAUCUUUCACUUACACGCUGAUUUCUACUGUUUGUAGAAUGCCCACUGUAAAAAAAAAAUAAAAUAAAAUAAAAAUAAAAAAAAAAAGUCAAACAAAAAACAAUAGGAAACCAUGAAGAAAUGACCUUUAUUAUAUCUGUUUUGUGCCUCUGGCAGACGAAUAUGCUAUGGAAUGUCCUCGUGUCCCUGUAGCCAAAAUCUACACGCUAUGUACGUGAACAUGUAUCAAUAUGCAUGAUUGCCAUUAGAGGUUAGUACAUUGCUUGCCCUUUACUAUUCUACGUAACGAAUUUUUUUUUUCAGUUUGUUUGUUUUUCGUUUAGUUUUUUUUUUUUUUUUUUUUUUUUGUUUUUUCCUUUCUGGAUCACUCCUCUCCGAGAGCCGGACAAAAAGUCUUCGAGCGCAGGAUUCUCACUCAAAACACCUGAACAUGGCUGUAUACAGCGAAACUACAAGGUCCCUUGUACGUAUGUUCGUGAACUUCGAUUAAUAAAAAAAAAGAAGAAAAAAAAAGAAACAAAAACCAAACAAAAAAAAAAUAAAACAACUUCAGUUAAGUUGGACAAGAAUAGUUUUUACUUUCUUCACUUUUUUUUUUUUUUUUUGUUAUUUUUUUUCUUUCUCUAUUCCAGCUGAUUACUUAGAUCUGAGACGACGGUUACGCAUGGGCUCCUAAAGCUGUUCCUUCUUAAAACGUCCCUGAUGCUGUGGCAGACCUAUUCCGACUAAAUUAUUAUUUGUGGAUUUUAGUGUGUUUUUUUUUUUUUUUGUUUUGUUGUUUUGUUUGUUUUUUUUUUUUUCCUCUAUUUUUUAAAAGAAGCCAAUGUUAAGCGUAGACUAUUUUACCUUAAGAGCAAUAGUUAUAUUAAGUAGAUCUUAUUUGCGUUUAUUUUUUAUUUUUAUUUUUUUUUUCCUUUCUCGUGUCUUUAGAUUGUGUACGAUGUUAUAUAUUUGGGAAAAAAAAAAACAAAACAAAAAAAACAAGGUGAAAUAAAGCUGAAUUAUAAGGAAUGCCUGAAAUACAAAUUCUAAAUAUAGCACUUGAGAUAACAGGAGAAAGGAGAAUGAAGGUCAAAUAAAACCACACGUUCAGCUUCAAGUCUUCAUCGGUAGAACAUUCAUGGUCUAUUUAACAUAGUCUUGUGCCUUGAAGUUUCAGUAAUAGAACUUUAUACGGUAGUUGUAUUUUUAUUCUGAGUCCUGUGUUUGCCUCUUGUUGGUAUUCAGUGCUUUGGCUGUGUUGGGGAUUUCUAGAGACUGAUGAUAUGUUUGUCUUGUUUUAUUUUCGUACAGGAAAAACCACGUUUGGAAUAAAUUAGGACAAAUUUACCUGGGCAAUAUUGACUGUGUAGAAGCGUGCACUUGUGUGCAAACCACGAUGCUGGAUGAUUUCCAAUCUGAAUGAACAGGUGCUUCCACUGAAGAGAUAAGACACGAGGAAAAUGUAAGCUUGUGUGCAAAGAAGUUAUUAUUGUCAACAUAUUUAAAAAAUGCUUACAUUUAAACAGUAACCUAGUAAAUGUGCAGAAUCAUAAACAACCUUUCUGUUUUCCAAAUGGAGGAAAAAUCCAUUUUUGUUUGGAACCUGUUAUACAAUUAAAGAGGUACAACAGUUUAA